UACGUAGGGUGCAAGCGUUAAUCGGAAUUACUGGGCGUAAAGCGUGCGCAGGCGGCUUUGAACGUCAGAUGUGAAAUCCCCGGGCUUAACCUGGGAACUGCAUUUGUGACUGCAUGGCUGGAGUGCGGCAGAGGGGGAUGGAAUUCCGCGUGUAGCAGUGAAAUGCGUAGAUAUGCGGAGGAACACCGAUGGCGAAGGCAAUCCCCUGGGCCUGCACUGACGCUCAUGCACGAAAGCGUGGGGAGCAAACAGG
rnacentral:rRNA from 1 species